GGAAGAAAGAUGCCCUGCGAGGACAGACCGGGGAUGAGGGAAGGAGUGGUCAGAGGAGAGACAGAAAAUCAGCAAGGUGACCUGCUGAAUUUUUGCCUACUUUCAUCUCGCUGACCUUUGCUGAUUUGAAAAGCUAAACAGGAGCCUAACCUGGAAUGAGACACCAAGCUUCACCAAUUCUGUUAUUCUUCUACUCAUAAGAAAGCAGAAAAAUAGCAUAGGAGAAAGGAUGAUGUAGUUGUUAACCAAUCCACAAUCUCCACAUCACCUGUUGCAACAGUGCCGCUUAUGGGCAACAUUAACAUUGAUAAUGUUAUCUGGGCUAUUUGAAAGCUGAAGGAGACAGCCUUUGACCUCAGAGGACUAGAAAACCAGUGCAAGGAUGGAAGAGCACUAUUC